AAACUGCACAGGCCAUCUAAGAGGAGAAUGGAAAUCCCAAGAGAGAAAAACGGGGUGAUAGAAACAAAGGUUGGAGUGAUGCAGGAACCAGACAAGGAAUGUAGGCCAUCUCCAAAAACAAGAAGAGGAAGGAAAGGAUUCCCUCGCAGCCUCUAAGAUGAAUACAUUCAGCUGGUACCUUGAGCGAUGCAGGACGCACUGCAGACACCCAGCCAUCAAAGGGUGUGGUGAUGUGUGCGGUGGUACACAGGGUUUAGGAAACGGAAGUCAAUUACUGCCUCACUUCCAUUUGUAAUGAAGUAAUGUCUCCAGUGUUACCACUAACACUCUACCUUCCUUGAUGACAAGGCUUGGGAAAACAAAGACUAAACCUGAGCUACUCUCGAGCUUGGUCAUCGUAACUACGUCUUGAAAUGGACAGAUGUCAAUGAAGAAAUGGACUGUGGAUGAAAUGCUUAGAAGAGAUGAGAAGACUGAGUACUCAGCUGUAGAUGGAACAUCUUUAUCAACACGACCAUCCUAGUCUAUCAUCUCUGCACACUGACCAGUUGAGAGCCAUUUACACGGGAAAAUGUCAUGCUUUCUGUUAGCAUCAGAACCAUCCAGAGCCAG